GGUGAACGCUGGCGGUAGGCCUAACACAUGCAAGUCGAACGGCAGCACAGUAAGAGCUUGCUCUUACGGGUGGCGAGUGGCGGACGGGUGAGGAAUACAUCGGAAUCUACUUUUUCGUGGGGGAUAACGUAGGGAAACUUACGCUAAUACCGCAUACGACCUACGGGUGAAAGCAGGGGAUCUUCGGACCUUGCGCGAUUGAAUGAGCCGAUGUCGGAUUAGCUAGUUGGCGGGGUAAAGGCCCACCAAGGCGACGAUCCGUAGCUGGUCUGAGAGGAUGAUCAGCCACACUGGAACUGAGACAGGGUCCAGAGUCCUACGGGAGGGAGCAGUGGGGAAUAUUGGACAAUGGGCGGAAGCCUGAUCCAGCCAUAGCGCGUGGGUGAAGGAGGCCUUCGGGUUGCAAAGCCCUUUUUUGGGUAAAGAAAAGCAGCAGGUUAAUACCCCGCUGUUCUGACGGUACCCAAAGAAGAAGCACCGGCUAACUUCGUG
rnacentral:rRNA from 1 species